AAAAAAAAAGAAUAAUGCUGAGCUACUGAAGAGGCUUAAACAGGAAUGUAAUGUGAUCAGGAUUUGUUUUAGAUAGAUCAGAUAAACUGAUGCAGGGCAAGACUGGCUACAAAGAGGCAACUCUAGAAAUCCUGGUGUGGGAAUGAAGAUGGCCUGAAUUUUUAGACUUUUCUUCUGGGACACCAUUUUCCUUUCAUUUGGUUUUUCUCUUACUCCUUGAGCUGUUACUUUUCUUUCUUCUCUGUAGUGACUUCUGACCUCCUCUACAUCUAAAUGUUAAUGUCCGUCAGGGUCCAUCCUCAGGUCUUUUCUCUUCUCUAUUCACGCCAUUAUCUAGUGAUCUCAUCCAACCUAAGGGCUUUAAAUAUCAUCGGGACACUGACAAGCCCCAAAUUUAUGGUACCAGCCUGCACUUCUCUGACUUCUCGACUGUCUGGCCAACGUCGGCUGUCUACUGAACCUCUCCAUUUAAAUGUUUAAUAGGUAACUCAAACUUAGCAUUUAUAACACUGAACUCCUGAUUCUCCCUCCAGUUUUGCUAUGCCAAGUUUUCCCCAUACCAGUAAUGGCCAACUCCAUUCUUCCAGUUGCAUAGCCAAAAUUUUGGAAUCAUCCAUAACAUUUUUCUUUCUCUUGUACUCUACACCCAAAACAUCAGAAAAUCCUUUUGACUCUGACAUCAAAAGACAUCCAGAAUAUGACCCAUUUUUACAAUUCCUCUUGCUACAUAGCUGGCUCAAGCCACAAUCAUCUUAGAGCUAGAUUAAGAGCCUAGGUAUUAUAACAGAUUAUUGUUAUAAUAGGUCAUUGUGAUAGAUCUCCUUGCUUCUGCCCUGGUUCCCUAUAGGUUUACACUCAACAUAGCAGUUAAGAGCUUUUCCUUGAAUAUAUUAGGUCAUGUCACUCUAAAUAAAAGCCCUGAAUGGUUUCCCAGCUUCCUCAGAGUGAAAGUCAAAGUCCUUACAGUGACCUAUAACAAACUCAAACUAUAACAAAACAAAGUUUUCUUCCCUCACCUUGCUUCUCUGACCUUAGCUAUUACUAUUCUCCACUUCUCAUUCUGUUGCAGACAUCCUGGUCUCCUUUUGGCCCUCAGAGACUCCAACCAAACUCCCACCUCAUAGCAUUUGUGUCCUGCUGUUCCCUUUGCCUUGACUGCUCAUCCCCAAGCUACCCAGAAUGUUUGUUUCCUUGUUUUUCUCCCCUCAGUUCUAUUCUUAAACAUAACUUAUUUUAUUUUAUUUUGUUUUAUUUUUGAGACAGUCUUGCUCUGUUGCCCAGGCUGGAGUGCAGUGGUGCAAUCUCGGCUCACUGCAACCUCCACCUCCCGGCUUCAAGUGAUUCUCUUGCCUCAGCCUCCCGAGUAGCUGGGAUUACAGGUGCACACCAUCAAGGCUGGCUAAUAUUUGUAUUUUUAGUAGAGGUGAGGUUUCACCAUGUUGACCAGGCUGGUCUCGAACUCCUCACCUCAAGUGACCUACCUGUCUAGGCCUCCCCAAAUGCUGGGAUUACAGGACUCAGCCACCACGUCCAGCUACAUAACUUUAUUAUAGAAACCCCUGAACACUUUACAUCAAAAAGCAUCACUCACUCUAACCCUGUCAGAGCCCCCCACCCUGCUCUGCUUCUCUUCAUAACACUUAAUACCAUUCAGCACUAUGCAUUUUCUGGUUUUUUCCUGUCCUUCCUCACUAACACGUAAGCUUGAUAGAAGGAGAAGCUGUAUGUGUUUUGCUCAGUGUUGAUUCUCCACCACCCAGAACACCUCCUAGCAUAAGGUCAGCACUCAGUAAGUUGCUGAAGGAAAGAAGGGAUGGGUUUGAGCAGAGUGGAGAUGGAGAUCAGCUGAUGAACUUUUGAGAUCUAGUAGGUGGCAGAAUAGUCAGAUUGUGAUGAAUUGUUGGGUAUUGAGCAGGAAAAGGGAGAUGAAGGAAAUAAGAGGGCUCUAGGAGGCUCUCCAAGUUUCUGCCCUACACACUGAGUUGAUGGUAUACUGUUCCCUGAAAUAGAGAAGAUGGGAAAAGGAUUUGAUUAAGGACAGGGACAGAGAAGGAUAAUUUCAACUUUGAGGAAGUUGAGAUUCAGGUUAUUAGGACAUAUUCAACUGAAGAUAUCCUGGAGGUAGCUGGCUCUAGAACUAUUAACUGAGUUUGUGCUGAACACUCAUCUCUGUUAGGUACAAAACUGCAUGGAAAGGAGAUGAAGAGAGACUGUAUAGUAUUGAGUCAUUUUCCAGGGAAAAGCUAAAUCCUUUUCACCCCUUCAGGUGAACUUACCAAACCAGCUGCUACUCAGAAGCUCACAGCCUUUCAGAAAAAGGUAUUCUCCAAGCCUCCAAGGAGUCUUAUUGUCUCAAGGCAACCAUUUUUCAGUUUGACUCUAGGGGUGCGUGUUUGCCAUUCAGAACCUACUAUAUUUUACCGCACCUCCUGACAUUGUUACACAACAUUUAUUGAAAGCACAUUUGAUGGUAAUGAAGUUUCUAUUAACUAUGAUUAAAUCUCAUAAAGCACCUGAAGAUAAUUUAAGAUGUGCAGAAGCAGAAAAUGAAACAUUCGGUUUAGUACAUUAGGAAACGUAAUUGAUUAAAUUAUCUCAUUUACAAUAAGUGCUUUCAUGAGCUAUGCAGUGCACAUAUUUUCCCCAGUUUGUCAUUAUGAUUUGCCAACAGAUAUCUUAAGACUUCACUUUCUUUUUACACCUCCCCGCAACUCUAAGCUCGUGCCUCUGCCUGCCUGCUCAUGGAGCACUCUGUGCAGAGCUCUGAGUGAUGUUUUCUAUCUGCCAGGCCUUAUGGAAGAUCAUGUGUAUGGCUAUAUAUAGGCACAGGUUGUUUCUCAAUUAUCUUCAUAAUUGACUUUGAUUUUGCAUUAGUGAUGAUUCAUGUAGUCUCACAUUAAGCCCCUCUUUCACUGAACAACUGCAGCCUGAAUUUCUAUAAUGCACUCCUAACCAUGCAGCUUACAGAACCCCGAUUGGAUUCCUCUGGGAGCCUUUUGCAAUCACAUUGAUUCUCUAAGGUCUUAUUUUUAGAGAAAUCACAAAUUAAAACAGUUUAAGCGAUUCCGUUGCAGUAUCCAGCAAUUAAGCAUGGUGCUCAGGAACGAGAACCCCAAGCAAAAACUAAUUCUGAAGUCCCUAAGGACUGGAAAUGGCUUCUGCGGGGUUUAUGCCUGGAAGUACAGAUGUAACCAAAUUAGAAUGGCACAGGACUCACAAACUAAGUGUGAAAUUAAUUUUAAAAACACAUACAUGCAUUUCUAAGUAACUCUCACAUUGGCCACCCCAUGGAUACCUAUGAUCUUUUUUGUGCUAUAUGACAGAAUCAGUGGACAGCAUGCACCAUGUGGCCGGGAGCAAGGUAAGAGUCCACUUACUCCACCUGUCAUCCUGAGGGUCCUGACACAAGCACAGGCCAAAUAUUCAGUGAUCUGUUUAUUUCUCUCUCCCUCAAUGCCCAUACACAUGAACACACAUAUACACAGCCAGGUGCCCCCAAACUCAGUCUUCCCAUAAAUUCAAAAUCAAACAUGCAUGAUGUCAGAGGACCAAUACUUAAGUAGUAAUGAUUUUUUUUAAUGGGCAGCAGACAGCAGGGAAAUAAGUUUAAAUGUUUAUUUUUGCUGUUUUCCCAAAUUCUUAGACUUUGCAAGUAAUGAUAUCUUUGUAUCUCCAGCCUUCCUGAAGCAACAUAAGGAAAUAGGAACAGAAUGGCUUUACUGGAUUUUUCCCUCAUGUCUUGUGACCCCUGUCCCAAGUUACCUAUUUCUGUCUAUCCUCACAGGGUCUUAAUUCUCUCAAAGAAGUUAGCUCAUAAUAGCUAUUAACUCUUCCAAGCUCUUUGAAUUUUAAUACCCUAAGAUUUAAAAGAUCAAAAGUCAUUCAGUUGAUACUAGAAUGAGAGAUGCUAGGCAGGGACGUCUUUCACAAGCUUUACAAACCAAACCAGCCAGGCCGUUGUCUAAUCUCCUACUAAUGAGAGCUGUAUUAAUGUUGCCCCAGUAUCUUGAAGUUUCCCUAGCGUCCUUUACAUAUUUCUGAUGUAUGAGAAUGACUUGGGGAACAUAUUAACACAUAGAUUCUUAGGAGCUCCUCAACCAGGAAUUCAAAUUUAUUUGUUCUGUUCUGAGGUGGUGCAUAUUUAAUUUAACAAGCUCCAGCCACACUCUGAGAUUCUGAUGCAUGUGGAUUCUGAUCCACCUUUUGAGAAACAUUUUUCUAAAAUCAUGGUUCUCAGCCCCACCUGCACCUUGGAGUCACCUGAGGAGCUUUGAAAAAUAGAGAUACCUGGGUCCUGAAAACCCUCCACCUUAAAUUCCAAUAGCCUUGAUACAGCCUGGAAAUUGGGAAUUUUAAAAGGCCUACAGGUGAUACUAAAGAGCAUAAGGUCAAAUGCCAUACUGCUAGCCAUUCCAGCCAUCUCCUCUCUCCAGCUCUGCAGGAAGCAUAAAAUGAAGACAAUGCAAAGGCCUCUCCCAUAAGCAAGCCUGGGUACAACGAGCCUAAGCCAGUACCAACACCCCAAUCCUCAGCUCGUCAUUAUUUCACCAUGGAGUUCUGGAUCCUAAUCUGCCCAGCUGCCAUGGAUUCCACAGGAGAUUCUUAUCAGGAUGAGAAAAGCAGUGAGCUUUCAGCCUGUCACUCUAUUAUAUACAACCAGAAGCCUGCUCAGGAACGAAGAUUACUCUGGGUAGCAGAAUGAAACUCCAUUAAAAACAGCCUCAUUGCCAUGUGAUGCCAUGUCCUGUGCCACCUCUGGACUCUGCAGGGAGUCCCCACCAGCAAGAAGGCUCUCACCAGACAUAGCUCCUCGACCUUGGAUUUCUCAGCCUCCAGAACGGCUCUACAGAUUGAUUUUAAAGCCACCUACACUGCAGUUUCUUCAAUUUAGCUCUACUUAUCUGAUUAUGCAUCACAAAAGGAAGCAGAAAUUCAGCUUAAUUGUGAAGCCAUUGCAGCAGAACCAAGCAAAUGAUAGAAAACCUCAUGAUCACAGACAGAAUCACACUCACUGAUGCUGAAUGAAAUGACAGACAUCCGUCCCUCUGCAGAAGCCUGAAUACUGAUCACAGAAUUUUACGUUCUGACAUUGUGUGUCUCUUGUCAGAUAGUGUUGUCCUUUACUUUCCCCGCUUCAGUUGUGAAAGUCAGGUGCAGUCUCAUACUAUUUUUUUUUAAAAUUCAUUAUGACAAGUAAAUGGUCUCUGGGAAAGCGAACAUCCUCAUCCACUGUUUACUGAAACUGUAACACUGUCAUGAGUGAAGAAUGAAACAUGUUUAAUGUAAAGAGUUUGCAGAAUGAUGAUCAGAGGAAAAGAACAUUAAACAGAAGAAACAUAAAUAUAAGAAUGGGGAGAGAGAUGUAAUCAAAAGACAGCUUGUAAGGGAGGUUACAUGCUGCCAUUUGCUUUUCAGCUGUGUUUUCCAUAGUGGGACAGAUCUUGCUCUUUGUUACUUCUACUUUUGCUUUUUCCCAUCUGCAAAGAGGGAAACAAUCUGCUUUUGAAUCUCUGGUGAAGCAUCACCUAGAAGCUGCUGCCAAAGCUUGAUAUCCAGAGUGCUCUAAAACAUAGUGUGAUGUGCCCUUUCAUCUUAAAGGAUUAUUUUUGGCUGGGCAGACCUCUCUAAGAUAGAUUAUAAGGAGCUGGCUUUUAAAGGCAAUGAAAACUGCUUCUGUAUUCACAUUUACCCCCUCCCUCCAUUAUCUGAGGUAUGUAAAUAAUGUUUUAAAGUGGUGAUGUGAGAAUAUUAAUUAUGUUUUCAUUUCUUGUUCCUGUUACCAUGUAAUAUAUCUUCAAGUGCUGAGAAAACAUCUUACAAAACCAUUAAAGAUUCCAAAUGUUCAUACAUAAAUGGGUGUUAAAAGCGGAUGCCUGAGUUACAUACAAUUAAUGAUACACAGACACGUAUCAUACAUACAUGGACAUGUACCACUGGAAAAAUCAAGUCUACAAAGAAUAAAAAUAUUUCUGUCAGUGAGUAAAAGGCUAAUAAUGUAAUGAUAUCCAAAGGAAAUGCAGGGACACAUAUGGAUGAGCUCGGAUUCCACAUAUUGGGUGACUAAGAAUGAAUUAGCAUAAAUUAUAAAUUUGUUCCAAUUAUAGAAGGUAAUUAUCGGAGACCAGCUUACAGCAUUAUCAAAAUUAAAACAGCAAAGUGCAUCUGUAUUCCAAGUAGAUGCCAUUGAGUUAAUCGUCCUGAAAAAAAAACCAAAAAGACUCUACACUUAUUCAUCUUCUAUUCCUUUGAUUACUAGACACUCUAUCCAAGUUUCCCCUCAGCUGACAGACACAAAGUCACCAUGAAGGAAGAAAAACAUUUUGAAA
rnacentral:lncRNA from 10 species